AAAGCUGUCAAAUUACUUCUUCUUCCUCUCAGCUCCAACAAUAGCUGUGCUCUGGUGCUCAAACAAAUAGUACUGCACCUCUGAUUGUGUCUCCAUGUCACCUGCUAUGGAAUAAAUGGAAGUGGGAACAGGUGCGCUGGAGAGGCAACAGAAAGACAACCCCCACAAUGGGUGAAGGAUACAGUCCAUUUCUCUCUCCUCAUCUUUCCUGACUGACUUUUCUCUAGUUUUAGGGUCCUCGUCACUACACUAGGGCAUGCUCCUGCAACACAGCAGUAAAUGCAUUUGAAAUGAGCCAUUCUCACAAUGUGUGCUUCCCACUGGGCCGACAACUGUAGAUAAUAGUGUUUUUCCAUGGCCUGAUGGAGCGUGUUUGUUACGUUUUGGUGUUGUCGGUGUGUUGCUUUUGGCGUGACUGUUAUGUGUUUCCUGUUUUACUUUGAAAGUCUGUGUUAUCUUAGUGUUUUCAGUUUACGUUUCCCUGUCUCGUCAGGUCUAAUUUGCCCCAGCUGUGUUUCCCUCCUGUGGUCCAUUCCCUGAUUGCCCCUUCUAUGUAUUUAAGCCUUGUGUUUCAGUGUGUCAUGGUCGCGAUCUUCCCCCCCGUUGUAAAUAGUUGGGUGUUUUGUUGUCAAGAAAUAGUUUGUUGUAUAUAGCUGUAAAUAGAUUUGUCGAUACUUUCGUUUUGGGAUUUUGGUGGUGAGCUUUAGUGGGGGUUUUUUUGUGUGUUUUUCUUUCUUUAUUUUUACUUUUUUCGUGUUGCACUCCGGUUGCCUAGGCCGGGGUGUAACAGUGUUCUUAACCUGUGUGACGUCAUCUAGCUCAUCCUGUUAAAAGGAAUAUAUCAAUUUAAGAAAAGCGCAUACAUGCCUGCCUAAAAAAGUAGAAAAUUAUAGCAUUUACAGUUUUCAUUUUAUUUUUUGCACCCCUGGUCCUCUCCAUUUCUCUCAUUCCUUCUGCAAGUCUCUCCAUUCCCUCAGCCUUUGCCCAGAAACCCACCAUCAAAGUACUUGUUUAUAGUUUAGGCCAAGUUAAAAAAAAAGAAGAAGAAGAAAAGUAGCAGUUCUCCAUCACGCUGGUUACUUCAGGGGUCUCAAGACUGAC
ensembl:lncRNA